rnacentral:rRNA from 1 species
GAUGAACGCUGGCGGCGUGCCUAAUACAUGCAAGUCGAGCGAACAGACGAGGAGCUUGCUCCUCUGACGUUAGCGGCGGACGGGUGAGUAACACGUGGAUAACCUACCUAUAAGACUGGGAUAACUUCGGGAAACCGGAGCUAAUACCGGAUAAUAUAUUGAACCGCAUGGUUCAAUAGUGAAAGACGGUUUUGCUGUCACCUAUAGAUGGAUCCGCGCCGCAUUAGCUAGUUGGUAAGGUAACGGCUUACCAAGGCAACGAUGCGUAGCCGACCUGAGAGGGUGAUCGGCCACACUGGAACUGAGACACGGUCCAGACUCCUACGGGAGGCAGCAGUAGGGAAUCUUCCGCAAUGGGCGAAAGCCUGACGGAGCAACGCCGCGUGAGUGAUGAAGGUCUUCGGAUCGUAAAACUCUGUUAUUAGGGAAGAACAAAUGUGUAAGUAACUAUGCACGUCUUGACGGUACCUUAUCAGAAAGCCACGGCUAACUACGUG